rnacentral:pre_miRNA from 1 species
ACAAUAUUAGGACCGUCGAUCUACUGAGCAAUUUCACACGGUCGGUGGCAGAUUUUCCCUUUAUCAC